rnacentral:rRNA from 1 species
UACGUAGGGUGCAAGCGUUGUCCGGAAUUAUUGGGCGUAAAGAGCUCGUAGGCGGUUUGUCGCGUCUGCUGUAAAAACUCGGGGCUUAACCCUGGGCCUGCAGUGGGUACGGGCAGACUAGAGUGCGGUAGGGGAGACUGGAAUUCCUGGUGUAGCGGUGAAAUGCGCAGAUAUCAGGAGGAACACCGGUGGCGAAGGCGGGUCUCUGGGCCGUAACUGACGCUGAGGAGCGAAAGCGUGGGGAGCGAACAGG